GACGAACGCUGGCGGCGUGCUUAACACAUGCAAGUCGAACGAGUGGCGAACGGGUGAGUAACACGUGAGUAACCUGCCCCUUCUUCUGGAUAACUGCUAGAAGGGGUAGCUAAUACGGGAUAGUGGGGGAUGGGCUCGCGGCCGAUCAGCUUGUGGGGGGGGUGCUGGCCUACCAAGGCGGGGACGGGUAGCCGGCCUGAGGGGGUGGACGGCCAGGAUGGGACGGAGGCACGGCCCACACUCCUACGGGAGGCAGCGGUGGGGAAGAGUGCACAAUGGGCGCAAGCCUGAGGCAGCGCCGCCGCGUGAGGGAGGGAGGCCGUCGGGUUGUAAACCUCUUUCGCCAGUGAAGCGGUAGCUGGAUAAUAAGCGCCGGCUAACUACGUGCCAGCAGCCGCGGUAAUAC
rnacentral:rRNA from 1 species